rnacentral:rRNA from 1 species
UUGAGCUCAGAUCAGGUAGGACUACCGCCUGAACUUAAGCAUAUCAAUAAGGCGAGGAACAGAAACCAACAGGGAUUCCCCUAGUAGUGGCGAAUGAAGCGGGAAAAGCUCAAGUUUGAAAUCUGGCGGGUGACCUCCAGAGUUGUAAGCUGAAGAGGCAUAGACCGACGCGGUCCGGGCUCAAUUUCCUUGGAACAGGAGGUCAUGGAGGGUGAGAACCCCGUCUGUGGCUUGGGUGCCGUCGUCCUUGUGUCUUGCCCUCGUAGAGUCGGGUUGUUUGGGAAUGCAGCUCAAAAUGGGUGGUAAAUUUCAUCUAAGGCUAAAUAUUGGCGAGAGACCGAUAGCAAACAAGUAGAGCGAUCGAAAGAUGAAAAGUACUUUGAAAAGAGAGUGAAACAGUACGUGAAAUUGUUGAAAGGGAAGCGUUUGGCAUCAGCCCAUGGCGCCCAAAGAUCAUCCGGGCUUCUGUCCGGUGCACUUUUUGGGCGUCGGGCCAGCGUCGACUUUGCCUGCUGGAGAAAGGCCUUGGGGAUGUGGCUCCCUUCGGGGAGCGUUAUAACCCUUGGCGUCAUGCAGUGUGGUGGGGUCGAGGUCCACGGUUAUCCUAGGACGCUGGCGUAAUGGUUCCAGCGAUCCG